UUCUUAAUGGCUGCCUCUUUCUCCAGCAAAAACAAACCAAGAAGCAUUUUCCCCCUAUUUGGCAGCCUAUGUUUUAAAAGCAGGUUCAAAUUAUUCCCAGGUAACCUGAAGUUUUUAAGGAAAAGCACCAGUUGUGUACCACAGAAAGCAAUACUGGAAUGUCUAACACACGAGUUAGAGAAAGAGAAUAAGUUACCUUAACUAAGUGUGGUCUCACCAGGGUAACAACCGAUGUGUACCGUUCUACUACAGGAGGGAAACCUAUUUCUAGCUGUGCUUUGCAGUACCCGGAGCGCUUCGAUAAUACAUCUGACUUUUUACACCAAGGCACAAAUAGCUUGUAGUUCUCCACAACAGCAACAACUUCAUACAUUUCCUGCAUAGAAUAACUGGAAUAAAGAUACGAAUGUUACAGUUACAUGGUGUUUUUACUAUGAAUUCAGCAUUAGUAUCUUUGAACCUUUUAUUUACAGCACAGGCAGUUCUGAAGGUGAACGUGCAGAUAGCAGGAAACACUACGGUUACUUCUGAAAACUAAACAUGCAGCUCUGCCAGAAGAAGGAAAAAAAAGCUGUAAACUGGUGAAAGCCUUUGCACAAAGAAUCAAAACACCACACGAUGUCCAGCUGUGAGUGGUGCAGCAAUGUUGAAGAAGCUUCUUGAGAAGGUAUGGCUUAGAACAGGCACUUGCAAAGGAGAAAUUCUGGUCAUCAGAAUACCACAAGAAGCCAAGUGCCUGCAACAGUGAAAAUGCUUUUAGAUACGUGUCUUUUCAGCAACACAGAUCACAACAGGUGAGAUGGCAUAGUCUGCUCCGUAAUGUUCCAGGAAACGUCCAGCUUACAUGGAAAAACAAAGGCUUGUAGAGUUUGCAGUCUAUUCAAAACAUAAGGUGGUGGUUUUUUUUUUUCCCUUUAGUAGAAACUAA
rnacentral:lncRNA from 1 species